AAUGUUAAAAAAAAUAAAAACGGUUUAAGGCUUUCUUUCUUCUUUUUUCUUUUUCCCCCUGCUUUCCCUCUUCGUUCUGCUCUUCUCUUUCCCUCCCAUUUUCGCAUCUCCUGCUCUUCCUCCCAGCUUUCCCUCUCCGUUUUCGCAUCUCCCUGUGUUUUCGCAUCUCCUUCUGCACUCUAUUGAAGCAGCUCGCUCUUUCUCCAUUGAAUUGGUUUACGCGCUUUCUCACUCCAUUGAAGCAGCACCUCCAUUGAACCAGCUCUGGCCUCCAUUGAACUCACUUCGAGGGUUUGUCAUUGAAGCGCGCACGGCUACAUCUUUACCCUAACGGCCUCCUUGUCACGGCUACACCUCCACCGAUUCUGAGCUUUCUCACCUCCAUUGAACCAGCUUCGAGAUCAUUUGGGGAAGAACAGAAAGAAGAAUGGAGGUUCAUCUUCCUAAUUUUCCAAAAGAUUUUAAUGCGUCAGAUUUUAUCCCUAAUCUUUACUCUGCAAAAACCAUUUUGGGUAUUUUUGCUGCUGCUUCAAUUGCUGUUUUCUGCUUCACAUGGAUUCUCUCAGGUAUUAUUUUUUUUCUACUCGAUUUACUCUGUUUAUAUUCUAGCAUCACGCCUCCUUAGAUAAAAUUUUGGUUCAUAUAGCCGACUAUCAUUGGGAUUAAGGUUCUACUUCUUGUUAUUGAUUUACUCCUUCAAUAUAUAGUAAUUACUUCAAAUGAUUUAAUCUUUGUUGAUGGGUUAUUUGUUUUGUUAUCUAAUAAGGGGAACAAGUGUAAAAAGGAAACAAUCGAAUGUGAAACAUAGUAAAAACUCCGUAACAUAAACGAAUGGAUAUAGUAGUUGUUAUUGUUGAUUGAUCUAACAAGUAACAACAUGUCUGUAAUUCUACAAGGACAAGACUGGAUCCAUUUUCGCCGAAUUAUGUAAUUCUCUUGCUCAUAUCAAUUAAUUCAACUCCUUCAGUUAGUUUAAAGGGGAAAGAGUACAGCAAGGGUGAUUCCAGAUAUUUGUCUCUUGAUUCAACAACAAUAGCUCUUGAAGCAAUUUCAAUCUUCGUAUUUGGUCCAACCAACCUAUUAGCUGCGUUACCAGCAUUAAGAUUGUUCCACAGGAUGAAAGUUCAGUUAUAGCCGGAUCUGCAGACAAGGUACUAUUCUAUCAGUUGUGAUACACACCCUUUAAGCAUACAUUACUUCAUAAGUGCAGAGAGUCUCUUACAGUCAUUUUAUUAAUGUAACAUGUAUUGCUUUAACUUUCAGUGAUUUUAUUGUUGUAUAAUUUUCUAUUACGAGAUUUUUUUUCUUUUUUUCUUGCACUUUAAUCUUUUUUCAAUUGUAUCCUUCAAUUUCUGAUUUUUUUGUUGCCAUUCUGAUUGGAAGACACUGUAGUUGUGUGACUUGUUGAAACUGCAAUUAGUUUAGUGCUUGUGACAGUGUUUAAAUUUCACUGCUUUGUAGUUGUCUUCCCUUAGCUUUAAUCCUUCAAUUCAUUUUUCCUCUUUAAUUUUUUGUUUCUUUCUAUUAAUUGGUUAUUAUUUUUAAAUCCCUCCCUCCUUUGGCUCCCAUUUGUUAGCUAACUUCUAUAAAGCUGCGUUUAUUUGUGAUAGAAGUAUUUUGUGAUUUUUGUUUGGGUGAGUAGUUAGCUCCAGGAGAUGAAUAUUAGAAUUUCUUCGUUUAAAAACAGAAAUUGAUUAAGGUAUUAUUUAACAUAAUGUAAUAGACUAACCCAGGGGUGGAGCAUUAUAGAAAAUGACAAUAGAAUUCUGUUAUGAGGUAGCUUGGGGAGUAAUUUGAGAAUAAAUUAUAGUAGAGAAGGAAAGAAAGCAGAUUAUACAUAUAUAGUAGUGAUCAAGGAGAUUGAAAAGAAUCAGAAAAUUGCUGAGUGGAUUUUACUUUGUUUUUAGCCUGUAGUUAGGAAGUCUAGCCAUUUGGAGGUCUGGGAUUGUAGGUGCGAUAUGAUUUUUUAAUCUUAUCCGAUUCCGAUCAAUUUUUAAAACUUUCCUAAAGUCUCUGCUUAUUCGUUUAUUCUGUAUAUCCAUUUCUUUGCUUUACUACACUUAUGAAUUUCACUAUAUCACAUUAGCUACACUGCCCUAUUGAAAUAUUAGUCCUGGCAAUAAUUUUUGUCAUAUCACCAUCCUUGUAUAUUUAGGUUUAUUUGACAUUCUGGCCUUAUUUGGUUCUUCAACUCCAGAAUUACUCAUCUUGCUAUCUUAGUUGGUCUGUCAUGCUUCCAAGCUAUCUGAAAAUGAAAAACGUUGAUAAUUAUAUGAUACUGUUUAGAUGUCUAGAAAACAGUUUGGCAGGAACAUUGCUUCGAUUUGGCUUGCGAUAGUUGGCUUCAUCUUGGGU